AUUGAACGCUGGCGGCAUGCCUUACACAUGCAAGUCGAACGGCAGCACGGGUGCUUGCACCUGGUGGCGAGUGGCGAACGGGUGAGUAAUACAACGGAACAUGUCCUGUAGUGGGGGAUAGCCCGGCGAAAGCCGGAUUAAUACCGCAUACGAUCUACGGAUGAAAGCGGGGGACCUUCGGGCCUCGCGCUAUAGGGUUGGCCGAUAGCUGAUUAGCUAGUUGGUGGGGUAAAGGCCUACCAAGGCGACGAUCAGUAGCUGGUCUGAGAGGACGACCAGCCACACUGGGACUGAGACACGGCCCAGACUCCUACGGGAGGCAGCAGUGGGGAAUUUUGGACAAUGGGCGAAAGCCUGAUCCAGCAAUGCCGCGUGUGUGAAGAAGGCCUUCGGGUUGUAAAGCACUUUUGUCCGGAAAGAAAUCCUUGGCUCUAAUACAGUCGGGGGAUGACGGUACCGGAAGAAUAAGCACCGGCUAACUACGUG
rnacentral:rRNA from 1 species